CCUACGGGUGGCAGCAGUGAGGAAUAUUGGUCAAUGGGCGCGAGCCUGAACCAGCCAAGUAGCGUGAAGGAUGACUGCCCUACGGGUUGUAAACUUCUUUUAUAAAGGAAUAAAGUGAGGCAUGUGUGCCUUUUUGUAUGCACCUUAUGAAUAAGGAUCGGCUAACUUCGUGCCAGCAGCCGCGGUAAUACGGAGGUUCCGAGCGUUAUCCGGAUUUAUUGGGUUUAAAGGGAGCGUAGAUGGGUUGUUAAGUCAGUUGUGAAAGUUUGCGGCUCAACCGUAAAAUUGCAAUUGAUACUGGCAGCCUUGAGUACAGGUGAGGUAGGCGGAAUUCGUGGUGUAGCGGUGAAAUGCUUAGAUAUCACGAAGAACUCCGAUUGCGAAGGCAGCUUACUAAACUGCCACUGACAUUGAUGCUCGAAAGUGUGGGUAUCAAACAGGAUUAGAUACCCUAGUAGUC
rnacentral:rRNA from 1 species